rnacentral:tRNA from 1 species
CGUUCAGGGAUGGGAAUCGAACCCACAGUGUUCCGCUUACCGGGCAGAUACCAUGUCCACCAAGGGCUACUAC